GCCUGGCUGGCUCAGUCGGUUAAGCAUCUGACUUCAGCUCAGGUCAUGAUCUCAUGGUCUUGGGAUCCAGUCCCCUGUCGGGCU
rnacentral:tRNA from 1 species